rnacentral:rRNA from 1 species
AUUGAACGCUGGCGGCAGGCCUAACACAUGCAAGUCGAGCGAGCGGCGGACGGGUGAGUAAUGUCUGGGAAACUGCCUGAUGGAGGGGGAUAACUACUGGAAACGGUAGCUAAUACCGCAUACCAUCAGAUGUGCCCAGAUGGGAUUAGCUAGUAGGUGGGGUAACGGCUCACCUAGGUGACGAUGCCUAGCUGGUCUGAGAGGAUGACCAGCCAUACUGCAACUGAGACACGGUCUAGACUCCUACGGGAGGCAGCAGUGAGGAAUGUUGCACAAAGGUGGCAAGCCUGAUGCAGCCAUGCCGCGUGUGUUAAGAAGGCCUUCUGGUUGUAAAGCACUUUCAGCGGGGAGGCGUUACCCGAAGAAGAAGCACCGGCUAACUCCGUGCCAGCAGCCGCGGUAAUAC